GUUCUUGUAGUUGAAAUACAACAACAGCUUUUCGUGCUGUAGGUUAUGGUGUAGAGUCCAUGUAAGAAUA
rnacentral:tRNA from 1 species